rnacentral:tRNA from 1 species
GGGAUACAGCUCAGUGUGAGUGCCUGCCUCACAUGCACAAGGCCCUGGGUUCAAUCCCCAGUAGCACG